rnacentral:rRNA from 1 species
CCUACGGGACGCAGCAGUGGGGAAUAUUGCACAAUGGGGGAAACCCUGAUGCAGCGACGCCGCGUGAGUGAUGAAGAAUUUCGGUACGUAAAGCUCUAUCAGCAGGGAAGAAAAUGACGGUACCUGACUAAGAAGCACCGGCUAACUACGUGCCAGCAGCCGCGGUAAUACGUAUGGAGCAAGCGUUAUCCGGAUUUACUGGGUGUAAAGGGAGCGCAGACGGCAGGGCAGGUCUGAUGUGAAAGUCCGGGGCUCAACCCCGGGACUGCAUUGGAAACUGUCAGGCUGGAGUGCAGGAGAGGUAG